rnacentral:rRNA from 1 species
AUGGAGGACGCCAUCGACCUCGACCUCAACGUCGCCGCCGGCCUCGCCUCCCUCGCCUCGUCCGGCGUCGUCGCCCCCUCCGGGAAAGGCAAGCCUCGUGCCCCGUGCAAGACCACCGCGGCGACCAAGCCGAAGAAGGCGCUGACGCCCAAACAGCGGGCAAGGGAGUCGGUCAAGAGGAAGGGCCGGAGGCACGCCGCGGACGCGAGGGAUGAGGCUGCUGAUCAGGCCGCCGCUGUCGCCGCCGCGCAGCAGGAGUUCAGCAUCACCCGCGUCGCCACGACAACGAGGGAGGCGCUCUACAUGCUUGGGGUAAACCCUAGCCAGCACGGCCUCAUCCAAGCCGUCGUCGCCAAGGAAGAGGCCGUGGUUCGAGAAGAUGCAGGCCGACAUGCUCAAGUUCAAUGA